UCCCGUGGCUCAGUUGGUAGAGCAUUGCGCCAACACCGCAAAGGUCAUGGGUUCAUAUACCAUGAUUUGGAU